UACGGGGGGGGCAAGCGUUGUUCGGAAUUACUGGGCGUAAAGGGCGCGUAGGCGGCUCGGUAAGUCGGGUGUGAAACCCCCAGGCUCAACCUGGGGACGCCACCCGAUACUGCUGUGGCUAGAGUCCAGUAGGGGAGUGUGGAAUUCCCGGUGUAGCGGUGAAAUGCGCAGAUAUCGGGAGGAACACCAGCGGCGAAGGCGGCACUCUGGGCUGGAACUGACGCUGAGGAGCGAAAGCGUGGGGAGCGAACAGG
rnacentral:rRNA from 1 species